UACGUAGGGUGCAAGCGUUGUCCGGAAUUAUUGGGCGUAAAGAGCUCGUAGGCGGUUUGUCGCGUCUGCUGUGAAAACGCGAGGCUCAACCUCGCGCCUGCAGUGGGUACGGGCAGACUAGAGUGCGGUAGGGGAGAUUGGAAUUCCUGGUGUAGCGGUGAAAUGCGCAGAUAUCGGGAAGAACACCCGUGGCGAAGGCGGCUCUCUGGGACGGUACUGACGCUGAGACGCGAAAGCGUGGGGAGCGAACAGG
rnacentral:rRNA from 1 species